CAACACAAAGUCAUACUCAUAAUCACUAUCUCCAAGACUCCAAGUCUAAUCCUCUACCCUCCUCCACAUGGUCUUCCCUCCUUCCUCUCUCCACUCACUUUGACCAAUUUUCAUUCUGAGGAUUUAUUCUUUUCAACUAAUAGCUCAUUAUUUUUUUUUCAAUUAUAAUUCAUUUUAAUUCAUAUAAGCAGCAUUACCAUAUUGAAAAUCUCCCGCAAACGUGCCCUUCUCCACACCCUAUUGUUAAAAUCACGAAUUCCUCGUGUGAUUCUUCCCCAAUCUAGCGCUCUUUCCGGUUACCUUAAGGUCUAUAAUCAUCAUAGCGGCUGCGCCGCUGGCUGACACCGUCACGCUUAUGAACAGAGAAUUAAGUCAUUCACUGAACCACCAGCAAAGAAACUCGAAAAACGAAACCCCGGAAGUCACACAAAUUUACAAUUACGUGGAAUUAAAAGACUGGUUUAACCGUACGAUAGGGAAAAACCCCAACCACAGACAAUAACGGCGAGUGUCCCCACUUUUACUACCAAGUUCCAAUAAUUGAUCAUUCUACCAAUCCUCUCUGUGCUCAAGCUGGUAACACUGUCUUCCUCCACUUCUCUUCUUCUUCUUCCGAAUUUUCUCUUCUUCCCAAUUUUUCCUUAAACCCUAAUCCUAGAUUUCCCCUUUCUCUUGUAAAUACUCUUAAAAAAAAAAAUUCCCCAAUCUUCAUGCUCUAACAUAAAAUUCGUCAACGAAGAAAAUUAUGAUUCCUUUAAUUUCAUCCAUAUUUCUUUACUCUAUUUUCAUCUUCACGGUUGUCAACGGCGAGAGCGAUUCAAUUUACGAGAUCCUAAAGGCCCAUGGGCUACCCAUGGGGCUUCUUCCGAAGGGAAUAAUCCGAUUUGACUUCGACGAUACGGGCAGAUUCGAGGUUCAUUUGGAUCAGGCCUGUAAUGCCAAGUUUGAAAGCGAGUUGCAUUAUGAUAGGAACGUGUCGGGGACUUUGAGUUACGGGCAGAUCGGGGAGCUGUCGGGUAUUUCGGCUCAAGAGUUGUUUCUUUGGUUCCCGGUUAAAGGGAUUCGGGUCGAUGUUCCGAGCUCGGGCCUCAUUUAUUUUGACGUCGGUGUCGUCUUUAAGCAGUUUUCAUUGUCGUUGUUCGAAGCGCCGAGGGAUUGUAUGGUGGUUCGGGAUUUUGAAUCCGGCUAUUCGAUUCAAGAUGGCAAGUUAUUAGCUGAAGCAAUCUCCAAGAGUCAAUCUGCGAAACUUCAAUAUGAACUUGAUCAAGAAAGUUUUGGGAGGAACGAUAUGUAGAAAGGUGGACAAAAGAAUUUGUGGAAUAGCUCAAGCAGUUUAGCUAUCAAGGGUAUCUUGGGGCUUGUUCCCCACUUUGUAAAUUUUCCUCGGUGAGUCUGCUCUAGGCGGUCUUUAUGCUUCCAUCAUGUAUGCUUUGCUUGCUUUUUUCUUCCUUUAUUCUAUAUAUUGCAGAGUCCUCGACAUGUCAAGUCAAGCCGGCUCCUGACUAUGCGAGGAUGGUCAAUGAGGAGAAAAUGGAAGAUUGGAAAGCUAUAUUUUUUAUGAAUGUCAUGGUUGGUUUGCCAUAUGGUAGAUAAAAUGGAAAUGAGAGCAUUUGGAUGGCGAUUUCAGGUCUAAACGUCGAUGGAAUCUGUUUUCAAUGUCAGAGAGUUUGAACUUUGAGCAUGGGUUUGUGACUUUGUGUAGUGAUGGUCAUGGGAGUAUAUUUCUCCCAAGGAUUUUUGAACGGACACUCUAGUCUCCUAGAAAAAUUUUGAGUUUAUUUUUUCCUUUUUUUUUUUUUUGCUUUGGCUUUGGGAAGGGUUGUUAAAGCUUUGCAAAAUUAGUGAACUUUGGGUAUAUACCAGAUAGGCUGCAAUGGCAUAUGCUUAUUUUCUAGGCAUGUGAUGAAAGUUGUGAGAUACUUUAAAAAAUAGGUUGUUUUAGCAUCUAGGUUAUUGGAUUUUAGAUUGGUUAGCAUCCACAAUUAGAAAUCACUGCAUACAUGGUAUACUCCUGUACAACAUUCUGCAUUUGGAGCUUGGUGAGAUUUUCUGAAUCUAUUCAGUGUAUAAUCUGUCUCUUCUUCAGCCUUAAUUAUCCACCCCCCUUCCUGGAUGUAAAAGCAUGUAGAUUUCCAUAUGAGAUGCUAGGUGCAUAUCAAUCUUGUUAGCAAACAUUUUUUUGCUAAGAACAACUUGGUAGUGAAAUGUUGAAUAAGAAAUUGGAUGUACCUCUACUGUAAGUAGUCAAGCUUGGAAAUUGGAAUGUUUCAUCUGAGAAUGUUCCAUUUGAUUAAACCUGCUCAAUAAACCAGUGUAAAAAUUCGGUCUACUUUGUCUUCGAUCCUCUAUGUAAAAUUUGAGGUUUGCCUAUACUUUACCCAUAGGCUUGGGUGAUCCUUAUGAGAUGGCUUUGGACUAGGCCAA